rnacentral:tRNA from 1 species
AUUUAUAAAGUAUAUUUCUGUAUAUUUGACUUCCAAUCAUAAGGACUAAAUAAUUUUAGUAUAAAUA